rnacentral:misc_RNA from 1 species
GGGUUGCAAAGAUUGUGGCAAAGUGAAAGCAGGAGGGGCUUACACGUUGAAUACUGCUAGUGCCGUCACUGUGAGGAGUACCAUUAGAAGGUUGAGGGAGCAGACAGAGAGCUAAAUUGACUUCCAGAUUUAUCGUUCUAUCUACCAAUGAGGUUGCACGGAGUAAUUUUGUUGAGGUUCUCGAGUCGUCUUUUAGUUUCCAUAUAUUUUUUGCCAACUUUGAAUCUUCUCAAACGAAAGUUCAGAAAUUGAUCAGUUUGUUGAAUCUACUUUUGACGAUAAUGAAUGUG